rnacentral:rRNA from 1 species
ACACUCCUACGGGAGGCAGCAGUGGGGAAUUUUGGACAAUGGGCGAAAGCCUGAUCCAGCAAUGCCGCGUGUGUGAAGAAGGCCUUCGGGUUGUAAAGCACUUUUGUCCGGAAAGAAAUCCUUGGCUCUAAUACAGUCGGGGGAUGACGGUACCGGAAGAAUAAGCACCGGCUAACUACGUGCCAGCAGCCGCGGUAAUACGUAGGGUGCGAGCGUUAAUCGGAAUUACUGGGCGUAAAGCGUGCGCAGGCGGUUUGCUAAGACCGAUGUGAAAUCCCCGGGCUCAACCUGUGAACUGCAUUGGUGACUGGCAGGCUAGAGUAUGGCAGAGGGGGGUAGAAUUCCACGUGUAGCAGUGAAAUGCGUAGAGAUGUGGAGGAAUACCGAUGGCGAAGGCAGCCCCCUGGGCCAAUACUGACGCUCAUGCACGAAAGCGUGGGGAGCAAACAGGAUUAGAAACCCUAGUAGUCCC